ACUACUCGUUUUUCUCCUUCCUAGUUCAUAUCACCACACUUAGAGAAAGAAAAAAACAAAAAUACCCUAACGCCUCUUCUUCUUCUCCAAGCCGAUGUCCCUAAUCUAAAACUAGCUCCAAUCAAUCUCUUUCUUGAAGAACUGCAAUGACUCUAUCCGGCGACCGUCGUCUAUGGUUCUCUGUGUCAGAUCCAACAGGACCUAAAUUUGUUUGAGCUUCUAAUUGAAAGAGGUGCAACGUAGAUGGAUGCUGACUGGGAGGCUGAUUGAGACACUCUAAUGGAGUACUGCCCAAUAGAACCAUCAAAGAAGAAGAGCAAGAAUGCUGCUGGAAGCCGCUUAUCUAAUCCUGAUGGCAAAGGGAUUCACAAGCAUUGUGCAGGUCCUCGAAGUUUUUUUUUGCAGAUUGAGCAUGAGAAGAUGAUUGAAUCUGGUUUGGAUGAACCACCACCUUUCAUUGAUCUUAUGCGGAGGACACACACACGCAAAGAUGAAACUUCCAUCGAUCCUCGUGUUGAGUGUCUUGUAAUCAAAGUAGAGUAAUCUGCUGCACAAAUUACAUCAGAAAAUGGUUCUCUCCUCUGUUUGUACCGGGGAUUAAUUGUUUGUACCGGAGAUUACACAGUUUAAACAAAUAAAGAUUUUGUGGGAAAGAGCAAGCAAGUUCUUUUAUUAAUCGGGGAAAACGUGAGAUCGUCACUUAAAACGAGUCGAGAUAGAGCUUGUUAGUUCACAAGCGAACUAGCAAGCUUAAAGGGACGAACUGAAAACAAGAAUGAAUUAUACGAAAGACAAUAGCAAUUUUCGAUGCAAAGUGUUGCUCUGUAGGUAUUGUCUGCGGGUCCGGAUCCUUUCUCCAAUAGAUGUCUCGAGCUAUUUAUAAGCGAAUGUAGAGUUAGAACACUCUAGGGUUUUCUGUGUGAAAUCCCGAGAUUGUCCUCCGAGGUUGGCCCAUUUCCUUCUAUCUCUGGUGAGUCUUUGUUGGGCCGAGUUGGCAUAUGGGGCAAAGCCCAUAUCCAACAAUAGUCCCCCCCUUAGUCCGGCGAGCGAGAUAUUUCUGCGAUCGGCGGGCGUACUUUGAGUCUUAACAUAUGCCUGCUCGGCGUUAGGCGUUCCAGACUGCUUCAAGAAGAUCUAACUUUGUGUGGUGAUGGUUAAAGCGAUAGUUUUUGUUGAGCUCGGAGCUCGUUCUGAUGUUGUAUGCGUUGAGUGUGUUGUUCUGGAGCGCGAAGCUUGUAUGAAUGUUAUGUGUCUUGAGCACGUCUUUGCGGAGCGUGGCGCCUGGCGCGUGGAGCGUUGAGCGUGGAUCUCAUCUAGAUGUUAUGCGCCUUGAGCACGUUUUUACAGAGUGUAGUGCUUGAUAAUGGAUCUGCAAUGGUUGAGGACGGAGUUGCCGCACAUAGUUCGUAACCAAGGAUCAAAGAAAUUGAGCCAGACCGGCAUGCGGAGAUUGAGGUCGGCGAGCUUGAGAUUGAGGUCGGCGAAUGAGUUUGAGGUCUC